rnacentral:lncRNA from 1 species
UCCAAUCCAUCUGCAUCUGGAGCUCCACCUCGCUCUAAGCUCCCACUGGCUUCUAAAGCUCCACCUCAUACUAAGCUUCUUGCCAAGAGGUAAUAUCCUCCAUACUUCUUUUCCUUCAUUACAAUUCUACUGCCACGCAAAAUCUUCAUAAUUUCAUCCUCAGCUCUCCACAUGUAGCUGCUUGAAUCCAGUUUGCUUAGUG